rnacentral:rRNA from 1 species
GUGACCUCAAAUCAGGUAGGACUACCCGCUGAACUUAAGCAUAUCAAUAAGCGGAGGAAAAGAAACUAACAAGGAUUCCCCUAGUAACUGCGAGUGAAGCGGGAAAAGCUCAAAUUUAAAAUCUGUCAGUCUUUGGCUGUCCGAGUUGUAAUCUAGAGAAGUGUUAUCCGCGCUGGACCGUGUACAAGUCUCCUGGAAUGGAGCGUCAUAGAGGGUGAGAAUCCCGUCUUUGACACGGACUGCCAGGGCUUUGUGAUAUGCUCUCAAAGAGUCGAGUUGUUUGGGAAUGCAGCUCAAAAUGGGUGGUAAAUUCCAUCUAAAGCUAAAUAUUGGCGAGAGACCGAUAGCGAACAAGUACCGUGAGGGAAAGAUGAAAAGAACUUUGGAAAGAGAGUUAAACAGUACGUGAAAUUGCUGAAAGGGAAACGCUUGAAGUCAGUCGCGUUGUCCAGGGAUCAGCCUUGCUUUUGCUUNGUGUACUUUCUGGUUGACGGGUCAGCAUCAAUUUUGACUGUUGGAAAAAGGUCAGGGGAAUGUGGCAUCUUCGGAUG